GCCCGCUCAGAAACUUAAAGGAAUUGACGGGGGCCCGCACAAGCGGUGGAGCAUGUGGUUUAAUUCGAUGAUACGCGAGGAACCUUACCUGGGCUCAAAUGUAUGUUGACGUAUUCUGAAAGGGAUACUUCUUCGGACAAUAUACAAGGUGCUGCAUGGUUGUCGUCAGCUCGUGCCGUGAGGUGUCGGGUUAAGUCCCAUAACGAGCGCAACCCCUAUCAUUAGUUGCCAUCAGGUCAAGCUGGGGACUCUAAUGAAACUGCCUACGCAAGUAGUGAGGAAGGUGGGGAUGACGUCAAAUCAGCACGGCCCUUACGUCCAGGGCUACACACGUGCUACAAUGGCCGGUACAAAGGGCAGCUACCUGGUGACAGGAUGCUAAUCUCAAAAGCCGGUCCCAGUUCGGAUUGCAGUCUGCAACUCGACUGCAUGAAGCCGGAAUCGCUAGUAAUCGCAGAUCAGCCAAGCUGCGGUGAAUACGUUCCCGGGCCUU
rnacentral:rRNA from 1 species